rnacentral:rRNA from 1 species
AGCGAACGCUGGCGGCAGGCCUAAUACAUGCAAGUCGAACGAACCCUUCGGGGUUAGUGGCGGACGGGUGAGUAACACGUGGGAACGUGCCUUUAGGUUCGGAAUAACUCAGGGAAACUUGUGCUAAUACCGAAUGUGCCCUUCGGGGGCAAGAUUUAUCGCCUUUAGAGUGGCCCGCGUCUGGUUAGCGAGUUGGUGAGGUAAAGGCUCACCAAGGCGACGAUCAGUAGCUGGUCUGAGAGGAUGAUCAGCCACAUUGGGACUGAGACACGGCCCGCACUCCUACGGGAUGCAGCAGUGGGUACUCUUGCGCAAGGGGCGAAAGCCUGACGCAGCCAUGCCGCGUGAAGGAUGAAGUUCUUAGGAUUGUAAGAUUCUUUCACCGGUGACGAUAAUGACGGUACCCGGAGAAGAAGCCCCGGCUAACUUCGUGCCAGCCGCCGCAGUAACAC